rnacentral:rRNA from 1 species
UACGGGGGGGAGCAAGCGUUGUUCGGAUUUACUGGGCGUAAAGGGCGCGUAGGCGGCCAGCACAAGUCAGUUGUGAAAUCUCCGAGCUUAACUCGGAAAGGUCAACUGAUACUGCGGGGCUAGAGUGCAGAAGGGGCAACUGGAAUUCUCGGUGUAGCGGUGAAAUGCGUAGAUAUCGAGAGGAACACCUGCGGCGAAGGCGGGUUGCUGGGCUGACACGUGACGCUGAGGCGCGAAAGCCAGGGGAGCGAACGGG